UACAGAGGCCUCGAGCGUUAGGCGGAAUCACUGGGCUUAAAGCGUGUGUAGGCGGAGUUCUAAGUACCUUGUGAAAUCCCACCGCUCACCGGUGGAACUGCUAGGUAUACUGGAUCUCUUGAGCCACUUAGGGGCUACCGGAACAAAUGGUGGAGCGGUGAAAUGCGUAGAUAUCAUUUGGAACGCCAAUGGUGAAAACAGGUAGCUGGGAGUGUGCUGACGCUGAGACACGAAAGCCAGGGGAGCGAACGGG
rnacentral:rRNA from 1 species